UACGUAGGGUGCGAGCGUUAAUCGGAAUUACUGGGCGUAAAGCGUGCGCAGGCGGUUUGUUAAGACAGAAUGUGAAAUCCCCGGGCUUAACCUGGGAACUGCAUUUGUGACUGGCAAGCUAGAGUAUGGCAGAGGGGGGUAGAAUUCCACGUGUAGCAGUGAAAUGCGUAGAGAUGUGAGGAACACCGUGGCGAAGGCGGCCUUCUGGACAGUAACUGACGCUGAGACGCAAAGCGUGGGAGCAACAGG
rnacentral:rRNA from 1 species